GAGGAAGGGGACGAGGAGGGGUGCUGUACGAGGGUUAAUUGACAAUUAACCAGAGAAGUCAAUUGGGAGAGUUAAUUGGGAGAGUUAAUUAGGGUGGAAGAGUUAAUUAUCUGAGAUUAAUUGGAAUAAAUUAGUCUUCAGAUUUGAUCUGAGUUUAUUAAUAUUUUUACAUAUAUAACUCACAUAUUAUUAAUAUAUGUUUAUUAUAAUUUUAAAUAUAUUUAAUCUAUAUAUAAAAAUAAUAAUAAUAAUAAUAUAUAGUAUAUUAAUUAUUAUAUAUUUAUUAUAUAGCCGAAUUUUUGAUCCCAAAUUUUUAAUUGGUGAACGUAUAAUACCCGUAUAAAUCACGUAUCUGAAUAAUUGCCAAAUCCAUUUUUUAGUCGUAUUUUUCAACGAAUUUAAAAUUUAAAAGACGAAUUUUAUCCGUACCGAAUUUUUGCCGAAUCCGAAUUAACUAACUAUGCCUCCAGCCACCAAGGUUGGUUUAGCUGCGAUCGAUCUCAUCCGUUCAUCUGUUGUGCUUAAUUAAUUAAUUAAUUAAUAUUUGAAGAGCAAAUAAGAAAAGUAUUUGCUAUAUAAAGGUAUAUAAGAAAAGUUAGUUACGGUGUAAGGAUAUAUUGGAAUGGGCAAAAUGGUAAAUUUUCAGAGUUAACGGCAACUAUUAACAUCUCACUAACGGAAUUUAACUCCAGGGGUAUAUUAGAAAGAACUUUGAAUAUAAGAAGGGUAUUUUUAAUAUUAGCCUUUUAAGAUGGGUAAAUAAAAAAACUGGAAACUUUUCAGAGGUAUAUAGGCAAUUGCCCCUAAUUCUAAACACCAUU
rnacentral:lncRNA from 1 species